rnacentral:rRNA from 1 species
AUUGAACGCUGGCGGCAUGCCUUACACAUGCAAGUCGAACGGCAGCACGGGAGCAAUCCUGGUGGCGAGUGGCGCACGGGUGAGUAAAGUAUCGGAACGUGCCCAGUCGUGGGGGAUAACGUAGCGAAAGUUACGCUAAUACCGCAUACGAUCUACGGAUGAAAGGGGGGGAUCGCAAGACCUCGCGCGAUUGGAGCGGCUGAUAUCAGAUUAGGUAGUUGGUGGGGUAAAGGCGCACCAAGCCGACGAUCUGUAGCUGGUCUGAGAGGACGGCCAGCGACACUGGGACUGAGACACGGCCCAGAGUCCUACGGGAGGCAGCAGUGGGGAAGUUUAGACAAUGGGCGCAAGCCUGGUCCAGCCAUGCCGCGUGCAGGAUGAAGGCCUUCGGGUUGUAAACUGCUUUUGUACGGAACGAAGAGGUUUGGCCUAAUAAGCUGGACCCAUGACGGUACCGUAAGAAGAAGCACCGGCUAACUACGUGCCAGCAGCCGCGGUAA